rnacentral:rRNA from 1 species
UACGUAGGUGGCGAGCGUUGUCCGGAUUUACUGGGCGUAAAGGGAGCGUAGGCGGGCUUUUAAGUGAGAUGUGAAAUACUCGGGCUCAACUUGGGUGCUGCACUUCAAACUGGAAGUCUAGAGUGCAGGAGAGGAGAAUGGAAUUCCUAGUGUAGCGGUGAAAUGCGUAGAGAUUAGGAAGAACACCAGUGGCGAAGGCGAUUCUCUGGACUGUAACUGACGCUGAGGCUCGAAAGCGUGGGGAGCAAACAGG